rnacentral:rRNA from 1 species
AUGAAGGAGGUUGCAGAGGACGAGCAGAACAUGAACAAGAUGAAGGAGGUUGCACGGGAUGAGCAGAACAAGAAGAAGAUGAAGGAGGUUGCACAGGACGAGCAGAACAAGAAGAAGACAAAGGUGAAAAACAUGACGAUGACAAGGGAUGCUCUCCAGGAGGAGCAGCAGAAGAUGACGGUCCCGCUGGCAGAUGAGCAGAACAUUGAAGGUUCCAGGAAAAAAUUGAAGAGGGGUCGGCCCGUUUUUGUUGGGCAUAUACUCCAACCGAGUAAUGGAACAAAGUUUGUUAGCAUCCUCAUUCCUCCUCACCUAGAAUUAACCAUUCCUAUACCAAAGAAGUUUGGUGAGCGCCUAAGGUGUGGGAAGCUGGGGAACCGUACCGUUAACCUUCGUGUUUGCAGAAGUUGCUCCUGGUCAGUCAAGCUGACACUUCGGGUAGAGACAUGUUCCUCAGCGAGGGAUGGCUUCGUUUUUUGA